GCAAGCCGAGCGGUAGGGUUUCUUCGGAAACCUGAGAGCGGCGCACGGGUGCGGAACACGUGUGCAACCUACCUUUAUCAGGGGGAUAGCCUUUCGAAAGGAAGAUUAAUACCCCAUAAUAUAUUAGAUGGCAUCAUUUGAUAUUGAGAACUCCGGUGGAUAGAGAUGGGCACGCGCAAGAUUAGAUAGUUGGUGAGGUAACGGCUCACCAAGUCAGUGAUCUUUAGGGGGCCUGAGAGGGUGAUCCCCCACACUGGUACUGAGACACGGACCAGACUCCUACGGGAGGUAGCAGUGAGGAAUAUUGGACAAUGGGUGAGAGCCUGAUCCAGCCAUCCCGCGUGAAGGAUGACGGCCCUAUGGGUUGUAAACUUCUUUUGUAUAGGGAUAAACCUUUCCACGUGUGGAAAGCUGAAGGUACUAUACGAAUAAGCACCGGCUAACUCCGUGCCAGCAGCCGCGGUAAUACGGAGGGUGCAAGCGUUAUCCGGAUUUAUUGGGUUUAAAGGGUCCGUAGGCGGACUCGUAAGUCAGUGGUGAAAUCCCAGAGCUCAACUCUGGAACUGCCUUUGAUACUGGGUAUCUUGAGUAUGGAAGAGGUAAGUGGAAUUGCGAGUGUAGAGGUGAAAUUCGUAGAUAUUCGCAGGAACACCAGUGGCGAAGGCGGCUUACUGGUCCAUUACUGACGCUGAGGUGCG
rnacentral:rRNA from 1 species